rnacentral:rRNA from 1 species
GACGGAAGGUGCAAGCGUUGCUCGGAAUCACUGGGCGUAAAGGGUGCGUAGGCGGCCGCGCAAGUCUGGCGUGAAAGCCCCGGGCUCAGCCCGGGAAGGGCGCUCGAAACGGCGCGGCUCGAGUGCCGGAGGGGAGAGUGGAAUUCCUGGUGUAGCGGUGAAAUGCGCAGAUAUCAGGAGGAACACCGGUGGCGAAGGCGGUUCUCUGGGCAUUACCUGACGCUGAGAAGCGAAAGCAUGGGGAGCGAACAGG